CUGAUGAAGAGCAUGCUGCUGAAAACACUGCUCUGGAAAGUGGUGACUCUUUGAUGCUUCCCCAUAUGCCCAAAUUCCAAGGAGAAAUCUCCCAACUAACAGGUUCCAUUGAAGACUUGACGAAGGCGAAGAAUCUGCAACACCUUUUGGACCUUUGGGCUCACACCAUUGAUACCUCUGAUCUUGAUGACAAAGGCCAAUUUGGCUUCUGCAGAUGAUAGGCUUGGAUGGGCUUCUCACAGGGACAAAGAGGACCAGAGAAUUUAAGAGCCUGCUCAGCCAUGCUUCUUGCCCUGAGCCUGGAGCGCAGGCAUUGCCUUACUGAAGGUCAGUCUUCUGAUGACCCUGGAGAGAGGACCAGAGGGGCCUCAGGGAUACUGAAGAGGAGCAUCUCCUUUUGCUAGAGCUAGGUAAUACAU
rnacentral:lncRNA from 1 species